CCUACGGGGGGCUGCAGUGGGGAAUAUUGGACAAUGGGGGCAACCCUGAUCCAGCCAUGCCGCGUGUGUGAAGAAGGCCCUCGGGUUGUAAAGCACUUUCAGUGAGGAAGAACGCCUGGUGGUUAAUACCCAUCAGGAAAGACAUCACUCACAGAAGAAGCACCGGCUAACUCCGUGCCAGCAGCCGCGGUAAUACGGAGGGUGCGAGCGUUAAUCGGAAUUACUGGGCGUAAAGCGCGCGUAGGUGGCUUGAUAAGCCGGUUGUGAGAGCCCCGGGCUCAACCUGGGAACGGCAUCCGGAACUGUCAAGCUAGAGUGCAGGAGAGGAAGGUAGAAUUCCCGGUGUAGCGGUGAAAUGCGUAGAGAUCGGGAGGAAUACCAGUGGCGAAGGCGGCCUUCUGGACUGACACUGACACUGAGGUGCGAAAGCGUGGGUAGCAAACAGGAUUAGAUACCCGAGUAGUC
rnacentral:rRNA from 1 species